rnacentral:lncRNA from 13 species
GCCGUGUGGAUUCUAGGGAAAGCUGUGCUGUCUGGCCGACAGAAACAUCAUGUUUUAUUCUCACCUUUUGUUUUCUUUCUUUUAGAUCUGCUGUGCCUCUGUUAUUGGCAGGACAGCCAGAGGAGGCAGACAGGACCUUUGAUGCCUGGCAAGCUGUACCACUGGGAGGUGUACAAAUUGGGAUAACAUGUUCCAUGGUAUCUAUUUCCAUCCUGUGUUAGUCUACAGAAUGAUUGACUGAAUGAAAGUUUCCAGAGUAAACCAUAAGAAAUAGCUGGAGUCAUAUAUAUCAAACACCAUUCUGCAACAU